rnacentral:rRNA from 1 species
AGUGAACGCUGGCGGCGUGCCUAACACAUGCAAGUCGAACGAUGAUUGAGAGCUUGCUCUCAUGAUUAGUGGCGCACGGGUGAGUAUACCAUAGAUAGUGUACCUCUUAGUUCGGGAUAGCCACUGGAAACGGUGAUUAAUACCGGAUACUCCUUCUUGUCUCAAGGCAAGUCGGGAAAGUUUUUUCGCUAAGAGAUCAGUCUAUGUCCUAUCAGCUAGUUGGUGAGGUAAUGGCUCACCAAGGCAAUGACGGGUAUCUGGUUUGAGAGGAUGAUCAGACACACUGGAACUGAGACACGGUCCAGACUCCUACGGGAGGCAGCAGUGAGGAAUAUUGCACAAUGGAGGAAACUCUGAUGCAGCAACGCCGCGUGGAGGAUGACGCAUUUCGGUGUGUAAACUCCUUUUAAGAGGGAAGAUAAUGACGGUACCUCUUGAAUAAGCACCGGCUAACUCCGUGCCAGCCGCCGCCGUAA